CUACGUGCCAGCAGCCGCGGUAAUACGGAAGGUUCGGGCGUUAUCCGGAUUUAUUGGGUUUAAAGGGAGCGUAGGCCGGAGAUUAAGUGUGUUGUGAAAUGUAGACGCUCAACGUCUGACUUGCAGCGCAUACUGGUUUCCUUGAGUACGCACAACGUUGGCGGAAUUCGUCGUGUAGCGGUGAAAUGCUUAGAUAUGACGAAGAACUCCGAUUGCGAAGGCAGCUGACGGGAGCGCAACUGACGCUGAAGCUCGAAGGUGCGGGUAUCGAACAGGAUUAGAUACCCUGGUAGUCCGCACAGUAAACGAUGGAUGCCCGCUGUUGGUACCUGGUAUCAGCGGCUAAGCGAAAGCAUUAAGCAUCCCACCUGGGGAGUACGCCGGCAACGGUGAAACUCAAAGGAAUUGGCGGGGGCCCGCACAAGCGGAGGAACAUGUGGUUUAAUUCGAUGAUACGCGAGGAACCUUACCCGGGCUUGAA
rnacentral:rRNA from 1 species